rnacentral:rRNA from 1 species
UACGUAGGGGGCGAGCGUUGUCCGGAUUUAUUGGGCGUAAAGAGCUCGUAGGCGGUUCGAUAAGUCGGACGUGAAAUCUCCACGCUCAACGUGGAGGGGCCGUUCGAUACUGUCGUGACUCGAGUCCGGUAGGGGAGUGUGGAAUUCCCGGUGUAGUGGUGAAAUGCGUAGAUAUCGGGAGGAACACCAGUGGCGAAGGCGGCUUCCUGGCCUGUUCUUGACGCUGAGGCGCGAAAGCCAGGGGAGCAAACGGG